CACACAAAAUACGUUUAAAUAAAACCUGUAAACACUAAAAAUAAAAAUCAAAAUAAAUGUUGUGGGGGACGCUCAGAGUUUGCCAAGUUGGAUUGCAUAAUGCAGUCGACGCAUGUGCAUGCAACGCAGUUGGGCUUCCACUGAGAAGUCGGGCCCAUGUCUGCGACAACAAACGCGAUGAUCAUUAGGCUGACGAUCGUCAGUAAUCGCAUGGUUCAAGGGUGAUGAAAAGCGAGAAUCUGAGAUGGAAACUCAGAUGGGUGAGUGACAUGAAGAGAAGUUAUAUUCAUGAAGUGGACUGUCAGAAAAUGCUGGAAUGCACUUAACUGUCAUAUAAAGAAAAUGAACUGCGAUUUAUAUAGUUUUUUACCUAAAAAUAAUUAAAUAUUGUAAAUAAAUGUAAGACUUCUUAGCCUUGUUAACAUGUA